CCAGGGGGUCGAGUAACGUGGU
rnacentral:siRNA from 1 species